CUUUUUUAGAUUUUUAUUUGUGGUGAAACAUAAACAACAUAACCUUUGCCAUUUUAACCACGUUUAAGUGUACAAUUCAGCAGCAUUAAUUACAUUCACAAUGUUGUGCAACCAUCAGCAUCAUUUCCAGAACUCUUUCAUCACCCCAAACAGAAACUCUGUACCCAUUAAGCAAUUAACUCCCCAUUCAUUCCCCAAAUCCCCAGCCCUAGUCUAAUCUACUUUCCAUCUCCACGAUUUUACCUAGUCUUGUUUUUAAAUCAAUUUCAGUGAGGUAUAAUUUACAUACAAUGAAAUGUACCCAUUUUAAAUGUACAGUUUAAUGAACUUGACAAAUAUAUACACCCAUGUCAGCUAUAGAGCAUUUCUUCACCCUAAAGACUUCUCUUGUGCCUUCUCAGUCAACUCCCUAUCUCAGUGCCAGCUCUGAUCUGCUUUUGAUUGCUAUAGACUAGGUUUGUUUUUUCUAGAGUUUCAUGUAAACAUACUCAGGUCUUUUUAAGCCUACUAUCCUCUCCACUACCACGUGUUCCCUCUCAUAGAAGGUUGAAGCUGGAAGGGCCCUCACACCUACAGCUCCUUUUCCGCAUGAAGAAACUGAAGCCCCAGACACAAGGGGUACUUUCCCAAAGCUAUACAGGAGACAGUGGAGAGCCAGGGAGCAGCUCAGGGUUCAGACUCCCAUUUCUGUGCUGGUUUCCUUGCUUUCUUCUCCCAGCCCCAGCUCUUUGGCAUGAAGUAUAAGGGCAAAUGGUUUCCUAUGUCACAUUAUAACAAGACGCUCUUGGAAGCUACCUAAAUUGUGCUGAUUACUUUCUGCCCAUUUAAUAUUUCUUGUAUUUGUUUUUGGAAAGAUUGACUACCUUUGACAAAAGUAUGUCAAAAGCAAUACAUCUUACUAGUGGAGCGAAGACACUGCAUGCUGACAAAGGUGAUCUCAGAUGUGAGGUCGAUGGUGCGCCAUGCAAUCAGCUUGCUGAGUGAGCCUACUUAUGCCCCAUCCCGGGGGCCUAGGGUAAGAAAAGUGCCAAGCGAAGCUGAGGAUCAGACUAAAGCUGGAAGGUGUCAAGGCACAGGCUGAGUCAUCAGAACACCUUCCCUGAAUUGUGUCAAACAAGUGUACAUGUGCUCAAGUGUAUCUGGAUUCUGAUUUGGCUGCACAGUCACUGUUUUCCAGAUGUUUGCAGAAGAAAUAUGAGCUGGAGGAGACUCACUGAAAGCUGGAACUAGAAGGAUGCACACUGCUCAUCCAAGCCAAUUCACUUAUUUUACCAAUGAUAAAACUGAGUCUCAGAGAAGUCAUACGCUUGCCCAAAGACACAGCUUGUGGUGGAGGAGUCAACACCAGAACUCUGGUCCAGGACUGCAAAAAAACACUUAACAUGUGCUAAUAAUGAGGAUAAAAGAUACUUCAAAUUCUGGGAGUUCUAUAAUGUUUGAGCACAUAUACCAUUGAAUCCUUUUAAUAACCCAUCGCUUACACAGAUGAGGAAACCAAGGCUCAUAGAAAUAAAGUGCUUUGCCAAAAGGCACAAAACUGGUCAGUAAUAAAUCUGAUCUCCAGGUUCCCAGUCCAGAACUUUCUGCAGCACUAUCUUUUUGUUCCCUUUAACUACCAGAAGCUUUAACCCAAAAUGAGGCUUCAACUAUAAAAGCUAUUUAAGACCUUAUGGCUGCGUAUCUCUGCCCUAAGUUUUCUCUUGAUCCUUAUUUUAUAUUCUAAUGUUUAAAACUUGUUCCCCAAAUUUUUAAAGUUUGCAUUCAUUUUAUUUCAAUAAGCCACGCCAAAAUCUGUGUGUCAUAAGCUAUCUAUACGUAAAUAAAUGAACGAAUGAAUGAGCAAACAAACAAAAUCUUAAGAGGCAGAGUAACAUGGUGGAAAAAUACCAGGCUUACAUUCAAUUCAAUACCACUUUGUCUAUUGUCUUCAUCUUUGAGCCUCACUUUCAUUAUCUGUCAAACAGGUCUAACAAAAUUUAUCAUUAAGCAUUAUUAUAAGUCUAAAAAUAAACAUGGAACAUAUGAAGAAGGUUUGUAUGUUAUCAGUGGUAUCUAAAUUGGCAGCUCAUAGUAGUAUUACUAGUAAUAAUAAUAUAAACAAAGAAGCCUGAUUAAUGCAAGUGAGAUGAGUUAUUUGACUCCAGAAACCCCGCCUCCAGACAUGAGUUACGGCUCUCAUUGGGUUUUAUG
rnacentral:lncRNA from 10 species